AUGGCCGAGAGGCCUGAGGACCUAAAUCUGCCUGAAGCGCCAUCUCCCAAGCCACCAGUGUCUUUGUUUUAUAUGCCACAUCCUGUGCCAAUAACUUCUCAAUGAAAGGAAAGCACAAGACUGUGAAUGCCAGUGAUAUGCCAUCAGCCAUGGAAGAGAUGGAGUUCCAGCGGUUCCUAACACCUUGAAAGAAGCUCUAGAAGCACACAGGCGGGAGCAGAAAGGCAAGAAGGAGGCUUCAGAGCAGAAGAAGGACGACAAAGACAAUUCCGGAGAGCAAGACAAAAGCAGAGAGGAGGAGGAGGAAAAUGAAGAAAGAAAGAGGAAGAACAGAACGAAGAGGAGGAAAUAGCUG
rnacentral:lncRNA from 1 species